UAUCUCAAUUUUAGACUCCACCUUCUUUGUUCUCUCUCUCUCCUGACUCUCAAAAACCCAGACCCCGAACACUGAAAUCCAGAUAUCAACUCCUUCGUCAUCCGGAUCCAUCUCCUUUACCAGCUCAAAUCCCGCUCCAUUCCUUCUUAAUCGCAAGCCCAAAACCUCAAUACCCAAACAAUAACCCUAACACCUCAGUCCCAUAUAUCUCCCAUCUCGUAUUUCUUUAGAAUUUUGCUUUAUCAAUUCAUGUUCUCUGUUUGUAGAUUUGAAGGCUUGGUUAAUUGAGGUCUGACCCCAUUUCAUGACAGAUUACCUGAGAAGUGGAUCAAAUCUUGGUUUGCAAAUCCCCAAUCUGAGCAUGACUUUUACUUUUGAGUUGUUUACUAGUUGAUUUAUUAUAUCUUGGUUUGGUACUUUGUGCAUUUUGAUUUACAUUUGCGAUGGAUUUCAGGGAAUUUGAGCUUAAUUUUUGUCAAAUUGCAGUUUCGAACUAUGAUUCUGUCAAGGAAUUCGAUGGGCUCCAGGUUCAGGCAAUUUUCAGGUUGUAGAGAUUUUGAUUUUGGGUAUAUUUGGUUUUGGGUAUACCAUAUUUUAAGGUAAUUUUGUCCCAUUCUGUAUCAGUAUUGACUUUGCAAAAUCUUGGGCUGGAGGAAAUCGUGUAGCGCUGUAAAUGCUUGUAAGUUGCUGUGGAUUAUGAAUUGGAAAUGAACCGUAAAUGUUGUGUGGUUGCAUGAUGAACAACUUGAGCUGGAGAUGGGUAUUGUGUAAGGUUUGGUUUCUAUUGCUUCUGCACUAGAAAACCAAUUGUUGUCAAUAGGCCUUAAGUUAUGAAGUUGGGUUUAUCUCGUUACCCUUAUUACAAUUUAUAUGGUUAUGCUAAUGGUGGCUUUAUUAUGUUGAUAAUUUGUCUAAUCUCCCAUAUAACAUGUAUAUCAUUUUAUUGAAAUUUGCUGAUCAUAUUGUUCUUGAUGCAUGUACAAAAUCAUUGAAUAUAAACUCUAUUUUGAUGAUGGAUUUUCUUUUAAUUGGUUCCAGGUUUCAUUUCCUAUUUACUGCAGAUUUCAAAAUUCUCUGGGCUGCAUUUGAUUUGGGAAACCCCAAAUGAUUAGUUUUUGGGAGAUGAUAACGAUGAUAACGAUCAAAUGAUUAGUUUUUGUUAUUCAUCUGAGACGUUGUUGUUGUUGCAUGUUGUUGUUGUUAUGGUAGAUGUGUAACAUGCUGGAAGGCUUGAUAAUCUAUGCAGCAAAAGAAUUUGUUUUCUCAGGAAGGCUUGAUAAUCUCUACAUACUCAAUCAAUCUGGUAGCAGGUGCAGCAAAAGAACAUUUCGAUUUCUUCCUCUGUCAAGAUUCUAUUGUAGGCUUGGAGUUAAGAUCAAGUCAUCAAACACCGUAUUGGAAACACGGAGAGGGUUGGCCUUUUGCACAGUUUGUCCAACUUUUCAUUUAAAUUUUGAUACUCUUUGGAUGUAGUUGAUAUGAAUAAUAACAUUUACUGAAUAUAUUGAGGUUGUAGUGAAAAUAUUGAUUCUCAAUUAGCUUGUUAUUCAUAUCAGUAUUGUUUCUAUGGUGAUAUGUAUCUGUAA